CCAAUAUCGUGAUGCUUCGGUUCCUUCGAUUCAGGUCGGAGGCUAAGAGGGAAGCCGGUGAAAAUCUGGCACUGCCCCCGCAACUGUGAGCGGUGAGCAAGGUUGAAGUCGCCACUGAAAGUGUGCUUUUGGGAAGGCCAGCCAAGCAGAGAACCGCGAGUCAGGAGACCUGCCGCAGGCGCAAAAAAUUA
rnacentral:ncRNA from 1 species